UGGGGAAUAUUGCACAAUGGGGGAAACCCUGAUGCAGCAACGCCGCGUGAGCGAUGAAGGCCUUCGGGUUGUAAAGCUCUGUCUUCGCUGACGAUAAUGACGGUAAGCGAGGAGGAAGCCACGGCUAACUACGUGCCAGCAGCCGCGGUAAUACGUAGGUGGCAAGCGUUGUCCGGAAUUACUGGGCGUAAAGGAUGCGUAGGCGGCCUCUUAAGUGGGAUGUGAAAUCCCGGGGCUUAACCCCGGAGCUGCAUUCCAUACUGGGAGGCUAGAGUGCAGGAGAGGAAAGCGGAAUUCCCAGUGUAGCGGUGAAAUGCGUAGAGAUUGGGAGGAACACCAGUGGCGAAGGCGGCUUUCUGGACUGUAACUGACGCUGAGGCAUGAAAGUGUGGGGAGCAAACAGG
rnacentral:rRNA from 1 species